UUGAGGGCUGAACGGCUUCAUCAGCUGCCACUAAAAAAGCAGCUGCGAUUAGUUGCUUUGUUUCGCGACCUCCCGUUUUGUAGAAAGAUAAAUAUAAUAAUAACAACAAUACGAGUUACGUCAGUCUUUGACGUUUACGUGUGCAAGUUAUCGAUUAUCCAACAUUGGAGUAACAGUUUUGUACAGUAUCAGCAGCGAUAUUAACGUGACCGUUGAAAAAACAAGCAAAGACUGUGUAAAUAAAAGUAAAUAGAACGUUAGGGGUAGGUUUCUCUUGAGUAUAGUAAGAAGCAGAAUAAUCGCGACAACUGCAACGACUAUAAUAUCUAUAUAUUUAGAACGGCUAGCGUUUACGACGAGUUCAAAAAGCAACAGUUACAAUUUUCGCUGCUGUCUUUUGUCCUUUACCGAGAACGAGAUGAUGGAGAAUCGGAGCCGUGGGCAGAAAACAAAGCGACACCUGAUCUGUUGCUGACAACGAGGUAAUCCAAGAAGCAGUAAUAAUAAAAAGAAGCUUACUUUUAAUACGUAACGUGAAGUAACAGAUGAUAAAGAACGUGUAUUCCUUGGAAGAAACUGCCGCGGCAGAAUGGUGCAUCACUCAGCCGGUUAUUAGCUUUCAUCUCUGCUUUUAUUCAACUUAUGUCGAAGUGUUUGUCGUUUGAUUUUGCUGUGGUAAAGUAGCAGUGGUACUGACUGUCACGAGUCUCCCUGGCAGUUGUCGAUGAUUGUGUAGCUGCUUCGCGCAUCUCUACCGGUUCUUUCUAUGGCCACUCCGUCGGAGUAGAAGACGUUUCGGAGAAUACUGAAGACAGAGAAACGUAGUUGCUGGACGCAAUAAACAUCAGGACAAAAGCACCGGUUUUCCGGAAGAAAACAUCAGGGCACUCCUGUUAAAAUGAAAUGGGAGAAUUCAUGCAGCAGGUGAUCUGAGCCGCCUAUGUUUAAUUCAUCGUAUUCCUCCAAAGGAAAUCGUUUAUUCGCCGUAAAAUAGUGACCGAAUAUCUAUGUAUGUAGAUAUUCGUAUGACAACAAAAGUGGACAUUGUCCAGUAAAUAAACGUGGGAAAAACGGAAGAUUGCGUACACGAACGAGUAACCCAGGAAGAUUAUCAGUCCGGUUUCGUAGACGGAUCUGCCACCAUCAAACAAAAAUGGUUGAUUUUAAAAGACAUCGCUAUCCGUAUUGCGUAGUAUGGACGUCCAUACCUGGCCUCACGUGGCUUUUUCCAUUUAUUGGCCAUGUUGGAAUCUGUUUAUCAAAUGGCGUCAUCACAGACUUUUCGGGACCAUAUCGUGUCACAGAGGAUCAAAUGGGAUUCGGAAAUCCGCGGAAAUACUGGCAGCUAGAUCCGGCCCGGGCUCAGGGUGGACAAGUGGGUUGGGACGAAGCUGUUACCAGAGCGGCUGAGGUAUACCGUGGGAGGAUGUAUAAUCUAUUCUGUGACAAUUGUCAUUCGCAUGUUGUCACAGCACUGAACUACUGUGCCUACGACGGUAAAAGCAACUGGACGCUAAUAAGUUUGUGGCUGCGUUUGAGCAUUUACUCUCGCUACGUUUCCUACUUCGAGGCCAUACGAACCUAUGUGCCAUUUUGUAUCCUUGUUACUUUAGCUACCGUUCUAUUCUUCGCCUGCUGACUAGUAACAAAAUCAUCGACGACCUCAAUCAUGACCAGAGCUAGCAGAUGAACGAUACUGUUUGCCAUGAAGCUUCUACGUAUAGAACAAAAACUAUUCCAGCUCACUUCGAGGAAUCAAAUAACAUCUGUACUGAAAAAGUUGGAGUUGUUUUUAUCUUCGCCUGUCUUUCUUCUAAAUACAACAAUGAACAAAUGGGCAGGCAUGACUGAUGAGCUGCAAGAAACCCUGUGUUAGACAAACUAUAGUCCAAUAGCAAUAGUAAAAACAGGUGAUGCCACUUCGAUGAAUUGGACAGACAAUAAAUCAUUAUUUUGUAAGGUGCAACGUAAGUCUUGCUCGCUGAGAAUUUGUGUUAGGAUGGCAUUAAUAAUGGAUUAAUUUAUAAUGAAGACUGUAACUGCCAUCUCAGGUAAGAAGGUUAUGAAUAAUAUAUAGGUUUUAGACUUCAAUAUGAAAUUGGUGGUGAAACAGGUGGUAUGGGCUAAAAAAACAAAAGUCCACUGGGUAAUUUUUUUUCUAUGCGAAGCUCGGGAGCACAAAAUGCCUGGGGCAUGUCCAUGUAAUAUAUUUCGUGCUUACAAAUGUUCAAGUUUUCCAAUUUGGCCAGAUUUUCCAUAUAUAUGUAUUCGUGCGAAAUAGAGCCAUGUGAUAUUUUAAAAAGAGACGGCCAUUUGAUCGCAGGGCUGUCGAUCUAUGUAGAGUAAUUGUUUCUACCAGCUAUAACUAAAGCUAUUUGGUGGAAGUGGUGGGGUGUCUAAAUCGAUGCGAUUUUUAUUUGCUCUGACGACUAAUCAUAAUUGCCGGAAGAAGGCUCGGCAGAAAAUAUCGAUUUCAGCGUAUGAGCGCUCUGUUUCUGAGUGCGGAUCGGCGUAUUGAGAAGUACACCGAUCACGUCAAUGCAUCCAGGUUCCGCCGGAAAUAAUAAGUAGGGAGAUAUGAGAGACCUUUACAUAAAACUCUACAACCGUUUCACGCCGGAAAAGCCAAGUCAUCAUAUAAGAAGAGUUAGGAGACUUUUCCGCAAUUAUAGUACUAAGCGGCGACUGUUAGACCGGCCGGACAACAAACUCGACCUUAGUUGUUUUUAACUAACGUCCGAUAGACUGUAAAAUCUAUGGAAGCCUUCACUAACUUCGUUACUGCGGUAAAACACACCUUCUGUACCGCGAUAGUCGUAGUACUUCGAUUACAUCUCAAGAGGGCGUAACACGAACCUCGGCAAGCAUGCUGGAUAGCGAGGCUAAAACAUUGUUUUCUGCCUUUAUCAACGUAGACGAUAAUCGCUCGUGAAAGCGCAGCGUCCGCACUGUCUGCAAAUACACUCAGCUAAAACCUACAAGCUCUUACUGUGUUGGCCUUCGCUCGCCGUGGGUACGAGUGAAUAUAUUUGCAUUUCAGGGCUAUUGAGAACAAUGCCCACCUCAUGGUAUUCGAACACGCCACAUUCACUAAAAAGCCGUUGUCGAACACCGGUGAUAGAUAUAAUCCAAGAAAGUAAAAAAAUCAACGCAUUGUAACUAAAGAAAAAUAUUUUCUGCCGUUCUGAUCGCAUACAUUUACAAUAUACAGGCAUCCGACAACGUGGGUAUCUUCUGCACAUCAUUACGGCCAUCCGGACGCCGUGCAAGCUGUUUAUCAUUUGACGGCAUCUUAUUUUCGCAGCGCAGUGUUUAAGCGCCUAAAUCAUUUGUUGAAAAGCCAGAGGCUUGUUCAGGUCCUAUGAACGUCGGAAAACUAAAUAGGAAAGCGCAUAGCAUUGUCCCGAAAAAGGCUUUUGUGUUGCGGCUUGAGAGUAUAUUCGUGCAUUCUAGAAAAGAUUAGCGGAAAAAGAAGCGAACUUGGUACAGGUAGUAUUAGACUUGCCAACGGAUUGUUUGAAAAGGAUGGAUAUAAUUUUACCCCAAGAGGUACAGAAUGUACUUAGUUUGCCCCUGUGGUGUCAAAGGUCACGGGAGAAACGCCGACGGCUUAAAAAGUUUGCAACGGCACUUCAGAAGGAUUUCAUUUAAUAGUGGCUUUGACGGCUGCGCCAACAGCUUGUACCCACAUUCCACUUCGUGAGGUCUCAGACUGGCAACACGCGCUCGAAGGGCAUCAUAAAGUUAAAAACUCAAGCGUUAUGUGUUUCUCGUAGUACAAAAGUCUCCUGGGAACCAGCAUGUUGCUGCGGCCAUACAGAUCUUGAAAAACCGGAUGGUGGAUGUCAGUUUAUAAAGGGUGCACUCGCAUUGCUUUGGA